rnacentral:miRNA from 1 species
GCUGACACAUUCCAGCCAAUCAGCAGCAGACCCUCCCUCCAAGACCCUCCCACCUCCUGGACAGCAUCCAUUUUGAAGCUGCAUUCUUAGUGAGCAGUCCAGGAGGUGGGAGGGUCUGGGAGGGAGGGUCUGCUGCUGAUUGGCUGGAAUGUGUCAG